CCCCAGAAGAAGACCUUCGUCCACACCCAACUCUGCCGCGUCCUCCGCGUCCCCCGAGGUCCUUUUGGGGGUUGUCACCCUUUGGUCAACCCCAAAGUCUUCUACGACGUGUGUCUCCAGGAGCUUUGCGAGGUCCCCGGGGACAAGGAGGUCCUUCAGGAGGUCCUCCAAGAGGUCCUCCAGGAGGUCCUGGGGGCCUACGAGGCCGCGUGUCACCAGGCCGGGGCGCGGGUGGGACCUUGGAGGAACCUCAACUUCUGCCCCCCCUGGUGCCCCGAGGACAAUCGCUGCCGCCCCGGUGACAACUGCGCCCCCCACCGAAAGCUGCUGCCCCGGGACCUGCUCACAGGCCACCUCCUGGGGGCGCUGCCGCUGCGGGGGCUGGGCCGACCCCCCCCCUUGGUGGCCCCAGGGGACGUCGUGGGACAGAUCCUGCCCCUCCCCCUCCCCGGGCUCCCGUGAUGGGGGGAGGGGCG